UGGAUUUUGGAUAGUGUUUGGAUCACUGUUAGCUACUCGAUCAUGGAGGCAUGCCUACUUCAAUUUCAUAGAGAAGGUGUCAGACUCUAUCUAUGUGUCAACAUUGCUUCUGGUGGCAAGAUGGCACAGGUGGCUCUGCAAUUAAAAGCUGGAGGUUGGCAUUUUGGGGUUUAUCUGCAACAGCCCUAACACAACUCUUGCUUAUCAGAUUCUGUAGCGAGCGUCAUAUAAUGGUCUGUGCAAGUGGGCAUAUAGUGUGGUAGAAAUUAAUAGAAGGCAAGAAGAAUAAGAAAUUUUAUUGUAUCAUCCUCUUUUGUUACUUCUUUUAGUUUUGGGAUCGGACUAUGUAUUCUGUAUUGGGCCUGUAAUAUUAUUGCAAUCUUUAUUAGCACGAA